GCUGGAGAUCUUUGCGAGAGAAGAAAUGGUCUUUUUUUCCUCCUUUAUAAUGUUUAGUGUAAUAGUUAACUAUCUUUGAAACCUGAGUUUAUAUUAUGUUGCAGGCAGAGAGGAGUUGAUCUCAACUGGAACUGGAGUGUAGAUUGAGGAAAAAAUGAGAUUGUGAUAACAACAUAGUGUGACACGUGAAGAGGCUUUAUAUGGGUCUUUGUGCACUCUGGAAUGGAGGAAUGCUUCCAUUAUAACCUGCAGAACGAAGCCGAAAAACCUUUACUCAUUGUUUAUCCAGGUUCAGUUUCCCUGCUAGCUUUACAUUUACAAUUUUAUGCCAUGGUUGGUGUGACUAAAAUGUCAUUUGUUGUUAUAAACAGUUAUUUGCAAUAGCAUUGUGCUGCAUAGUAGUUAUAGAACCGGGUUCUGUCAAGAAAGUGUCAAUUCAUAGAUUUCCUGACUUUUCUACCCUGCAUCAUGUAAAUAUGUUGAUCAUUUUUGGGUACUAAGCUUAGCAUAUUUACCAAUUGUAUUACAAGCCAUUAGCCAUAGGGGACAUAGUCACUCUUUUUUCCAUGCAGACUCAUGACAUUCAUCUAAAUGAUGCUGAUUUCCCGGAUGCAAUUUGGUCAUGAGUUAGAAUCAAGGUGGAACACAAAAUUAAAGUAGCAGAGGUACAUUGGAGCUAUGAGUUUGUUUCUGGGGGAACGAAGAAUCAUCUAGUUUUGGUAAAUAUUAAGAACCAGGGUGUAUUCAUGUGUUCUGACAUUAACAUAUUUGAUAGGCAAAUGCAAGCUUGUGGAGAAGCUGCAGCACUCCUUUACCGAUGAUAGCUAUAGCUUGUUCUUUGAUUCUAUAAGUUGAAUGAAUUUAUCAAGUUCAAUUUUAUCACCUUCCUCAGAUUUUUUUCCUUUUCAAUUUCUUAUAUUUGGUCUUUUCUUUUUGUUGAUAAAAUGUUAAAAUCUCUUGCAGGGAGUCAAGAAGUUCCAAAGUGCAGGAAGCUCUAGAAUCCACAUCUAUUAAGAGGGGGAGGUCUUCGUGUGUGGUCUCUUACGGAUGCUGGGUUCUGGUUUGGAUUCCCUUGUACCCGUGAAUAACAUUGCUUGUGCUGUUGCUUUCUCUGAUUGCUCAUUUUUUAUUCUUUUCCUACACCAACUAGUGAUUUCUUCCAUCUGCUGAUUUUGCAAUUUCUAAAGUAUGACACUCUGAAUUGAGCAACUGUACUUUAAUGUCAUUAAUUUAAAAUAUAUGCAGGUGUUGGUUGAGUAAGAGCUAAGCCAAACACUUGAUUCCUCUUAGGUUUUAAAAAAUGACGCCCUUGCCAAAGUUUUGGGGCCAGAUCAUUCCGGAUGUGUGCGAGGACUAGGUGUAGGAGCUCUUCAUAGUUUUGAGUUUUAAACUUUUAUAGAACAUAGUAUUCCUAUGUAUCCGUAGUUCAUACUCAGAGAAAACUAUGAACAAGGUGUUCUUAGCAUUUUGUGGUAAUUGCGUUGUUGAAAUUUAAUGGUUACUUAUGAGACUUUCAUAUUAUAGAGAAUUUA